rnacentral:rRNA from 1 species
CGCUAGCUACAGGCUUAACACAUGCAAGUCGAGGGGCAGCAUGGUCUUAGCUUGCUAAGGCCGAUGGCGACCGGCGCACGGGUGAGUAACACGUAUCCAACCUGCCGUCUACUCUUGGACAGCCUUCUGAAAGGAAGAUUAAUACAAGAUGGCAUCAUGAGUCCGCAUGUUCACAUGAUUAAAGGUAUUCCGGUAGACGAUGGGGAUGCGUUCCAUUAGAUAGUAGGCGGGGUAACGGCCCACCUAGUCUUCGAUGGAUAGGGGUUCUGAGAGGAAGGUCCCCCACAUUGGAACUGAGACACGGUCCAAACUCCUACGGGAGGCAGCAGUGAGGAAUAUUGGUCAAUGGGCGAGAGCCUGAACCAGCCAAGUAGCGUGAAGGAUGACUGCCCUAUGGGUUGUAAACUUCUUUUAUAAAGGAAUAAAGUCGGGUAUGCAUACCCGUUUGCAUGUACUUUAUGAAUAAGGAUCGGCUAACUCCGUGCCAGCAGCCGCGGUAAUACGGAGGAUCCGAGCGUUAUCCGGAUUUAUUGGGUUUAAAGGGAGCGUAGAUGGAUGUUUAAGUCAGUUGUGAAAGUUUGCGGCUCAACCGUAAAAUUGCAGUUGAUACUGGAUAUCUUGAGUGCAGUUGAGGCAGGCGGAAUUCGUGGUGUAGCGGUGAAAUGCUUAGAUAUCACGAAGAACUCCGAUUGCGAAGGCAGCCUGCUAAGCUGCAACUGACAUUGAGGCUCGAAAGUGUGGGUAUCAAACAGGAUUAGAUACCCUGGUAGUCCACACGGUAAACGAUGAAUACUCGCUGUUUGCGAUAUACAGCAAGCGGCCAAGCGAAAGCGUUAAGUAUUCCACCUGGGGAGUACGCCGGCAACGGUGAAACUCAAAGGAAUUGACGGGGGCCCGCACAAGCGGAGGAACAUGUGGUUUAAUUCGAUGAUACGCGAGGAACCUUACCCGGGCUUAAAUUGCAGAUGAAUUACGGUGAAAGCCGUAAGCCGCAAGGCAUCUGUGAAGGUGCUGCAUGGUUGUCGUCAGCUCGUGCCGUGAGGUGUCGGCUUAAGUGCCAUAACGAGCGCAACCCUUGUUGUCAGUUACUAACAGGUUCCGCUGAGGACUCUGACAAGACUGCCAUCGUAAGAUGUGAGGAAGGUGGGGAUGACGUCAAAUCAGCACGGCCCUUACGUCCGGGGCUACACACGUGUUACAAUGGGGGGUACAGAGGGCCGCUACCACGCGAGUGGAUGCCAAUCCCAAAAACCUCUCUCAGUUCGGACUGGAGUCUGCAACCCGACUCCACGAAGCUGGAUUCGCUAGUAAUCGCGCAUCAGCCACGGCGCGGUGAAUACGUUCCCGGGCCUUGUACACACCGCCCGUCAAGCCAUGGGAGCCGGGGGUACCUGAAGUGCGUAACCGCGAGGAGCGCCCUAGGGUAAAACUGGUGACUGGGGCU